UAAAACCCCAACAAAGGGGUUUUGUUUUCAGGUCAUCGUAUCAAUGGAGAAACUCAAAUCAGCAAUCUCACAAACCCUAAUUCUCUCAAUUUCUCAAAGCAAUCCUCCAAAUCUUCAUAACACUUGCUCAUCUCUCCAUGAAUUCUUCAAUCAGUUGCCCCAAUUCCACCAGAUGAUCGAAGAUUUAGCGCACACGAACACGUCGCUGUGUCUCAAGAACGAGGAAUCUGCUUUGGAAUUCAAACUCAAGGGGAACAACUGCCUCUCCAAUGGAGAUAAUUCAAAUGCGUUGCGAUUCUACACACAGGCACUACGAGUUGCUCCGAGAGAUGUGGAUGUUAUGGGAAAGAAUCUGGUGGCAACACUGUAUGUGAAUCGUGCGGCUGUAUUGCAGAAAAUGGGUCUUUUUCUGGAGUCUCUACGGGAUUGCAAUCGGGCUCUUGCAAUUUGUAGAAGUUACUCAAAGGCAUGGUAUAGAAGAGGUAAGGCAAACACGUCUAUGCAAAAUUAUAACGAUGCAGUUUGUGACUUGAAAGUUUCACUAUGCAUGGAACACUCUUUAAGCGGAAAACGACAGAUAGAAGGCGAGAUGAAGCUCAUUCUAGGUCAAAACAACGGUGAAGACUUUCCACCGAAUGUUAUUAAGUGCAAAGAGUCCGACAUCCAUGAUCAACUACAAGAUAUACAAUUGCAGUGUGUAGAAACGGAAACGAAAGGAAGAGGCAUGGUGUCAUUGACCGACAUACCUCAAGCCACGUUGCUUCAUGCAGAGGAACCAUAUGCUGCGAUAGUAUCAAAGAAUUGUCGAGAAACACAUUGCCAUUUCUGCUUUAACGAACUACCAGCAGAUAUCGUUCCAUGUUCAUCUUGCUCGAUGGCUUUGUAUUGCUCUCAGCUGUGCCAAAUACGUGCCAGAGGUCAAGACCGACAGUUUCAUACAAAGAAACAUGAUAUUGGUUUUAAUUUGGCUAGUGAUCUUGAGAAUUACGUUGCAAGUGUUACGAAGGCAAUUGACGAUGGUGUGAAUAUCAAGCAACAUGCAGAGCAUAAACAUGAAUGUGGAGUAAAUUGGCCCAUUGCGCUACCGGCUGAAAUAGUAUUGGGGGGUCGAGUUAUAGUGAAGUCUAUAGAACAAAAUAAAUGUUUUGGUGAAUCUUCCGCUAUUGUGAAUUUGGAGCUUUGUCACAAUUAUUUACAACUUGAUCCAGAAGCUAAACUGGAGUUACACAUAUCUUCAAUAGUUCUUAUGAAGUGUCUUCACCAUUGUUAUGGCUCCAACAUUCCAUUAACUGGCGACACUAUAUCACAGUGUGUCUUGCUUCUGUCACAAAUCAAAGUGAAUUCUAUGGCAAUUGUUCGUAUGAGAUCUGCUGAUUCAAUUGGUCCCCCAAGCUCAGCUGGGAAUAAUACAACUAGCACUGUGGAACAGGUGAGAGUUGGUCAAGCUAUUUAUUUGGCCGGAAGCUUGUACAACCAUUCUUGCCAGCCGAAUAUCCACACAUAUUUUCUUUCUCGAACUCUAUACAUACGAGCAAUAGGUUUCGUGACAGCAGGUCAUCCACUUGAGCUCUCUUACGGGCCCCAGGUUGGCCAGUGGAGUUGUAACAACCGCCAGUCGUCUUUAAAAGAGCAAUAUGCAUUUGUAUGUUCAUGCACCGGCUGCUCACAAAUAAACCUAUCUGACCUUGUUAUAAAUUCUUUUCGGUGUACGAAUAAGAAUUGUUCGGGUGCAGUCUUGGAUAGUUCUGUGGCCGAUUAUGAACAACAGAAAAUCAACCCCUUUUCUUGUGGGUUACCUCUGCAGGUUGGUAGGGUCCAACGGGACGAGGUCAAGAAAGUGGCAAGCUUUUUGUGUGAAGAAACUGGUUCGACCCAUCGGAUUAAACCCGGGUUUUGUUUGAGCUGCGGUGCUUUCCGUGACCUGGAAGCUUCAAAUGCUGUAGUAAAAAAGGCGGAGAUUUGUAUCGGAAGAUCAGGUUGGAGGGUUUAUUAGAUUCUGGUGAAUGGCAUAACGCUACACUUUCAAAUGCUUUAAGAUCAUUAGAUCUACUAAAAUCAGCACUGCAUCCAUACAACAAGAAGGUUGCUGAGGCAGAGGAUUACAUCGCACAGGCAUUUUGUUUAAUCGGAGAACUACAGAGGUCACGCGACCAUUGUCAAGCAUCGAUCAAGAUAUUAGAGAAGCUUUAUGGUGAUGACAACAUUGUAAUUGGAAACGAAAUGGUGAAACUAGCAUCCAUUCAACUGUUUUUGGGUGAACAUACUGUUGAAGAAAGUAGAAAUCGGAUCAGUUUGGUCUUUUCACGGCAUUACGGGUCACAUGUAGAUGCUAUAUUCCCCCAUCUUCAGUUCCUAAAUAGAAGCGUCUAGAGCUCGGGUUCACUCAUAAACGGGUUGAUGUUGAUUUGAGUUAUUGAUAAUCUAAAAUGGGCCCAAUGAAAUUUCUUAGCUAAAAAAAGAAAGGCUUAGAUGCUCUAAACGUGUUGUAAUCAUGUGAAUUCAAACAUUUAGAUUAUUAUUGCCAUCAUAUUGUUUAUCAACUAUAUA